CUGAUAUACAGCUAUAAAUGUUUUCUUCUGAAUGUCAUAUUCUAAUGCCACAAGAUAUUAUUGCGAUUAUAGUACAUCAUAUUAUUAGUGAAACAGAAAAACUCUACUUUCUUAAAACAAUUUUAUAACCCCUUGGAUUCCCGUCGUGACAGAAAAUUUUACGAACUUUAAUAUUAAAUCCAAGUCAUCCUGGUUGCACAAGAAUACUGGCCUCCAUUAUCUAACUGAAUUUAACUUUAUUAUUCUCAUCCCCACAAUUUUAGGGCAUCAGAGUUGUAGCGAUUCAAGAUUUCGUACAACAAAAACCAAAAGAAAAAGGAAGAGACAAUCUUUUCUUGAAGCAUGAAUUCUCCUUGGGGGAAAGAUGUUUUUAAACUAGAAGAUGAGAGUCCAACUUUGAAUAUUGAUUCGAACCAAGAAGCUAAAUCCUCCAAGGAUUUGGAAAGUACUGAAGAAAAGAUCCAAGAAUUCCUUGGGAAAUUUAUGGAGAAUAAUAAAGAAAAGCACUAUAUUGGUGUCAGAAAGCGACCAUGGGGUAAAUACGCAGCUGAGAUAAGGGAUUCCACAAGGAAUGGAACGAGGGUUUGGCUUGGGACUUUUAACAGCGCACAAGAAGCUGCUAUGGUUUAUGAUCAAGCUGCAUUUGUGAUGCGCGGAUCUACAGCUCCCCUAAAUUUUCCUU
rnacentral:lncRNA from 1 species